UGUAAAUGUUAAUUUUUAGGUCAGGGUAGUAUUAGUUAUGUUCUUGAAACCCAAAGAAUUUGGCGGUAUUUUAGUCCUUUCAGAGGAAUCUGUCCUGUAAUCGACAAUCCACGAGAUUAAGUACUUGUUUUUGUUUAUCAGUUUGUAUACCUCCGUCAUAAGAGAAUCUUUUUAGAGUUAAAAUUUUCUUAUUAUAUUAAUUAUAGUAUGUCAGGUCAAGGUGCAAUUCAUGAAUAAGUUGGUAGAUGGAUUACAAUAAAUUUAUUUAGGCGGAAUAGAUUAUUUAUUUUUUUAUGAAGAUGGAUUUGAUAGUAAUUUUAAUUAUUUGUUAUUAUGAUUUGGGCUCUAAAAUAUGC
rnacentral:rRNA from 2 species